UAAGUGGUGAUGGCGGUAGUGGUGGUGGUGGUGAUAGUAGUCAUAGCUAACACCAUCGAACGCUUCCUGUGGACCACCCACCGGCCCAAGAGAUGCACUUGUGAGGAUCGCCCUCCCAUGGAUCUGGCUUCUGUCUUCUCAGCUCUACAGGUUCAGAUUUCAUAGACUGUAUUAGGAUUGCCAGCCGCGCAGCGCUGACCUUCUGUCAGCAGGUCCUCGCCUUUGCUGAGUUUAGAUUUGGAGAAAUGUUGCCAUCUAGUGCCCCACAGGAGUCUUAACUCUUUCAGCCAACACACCAGUCUCCCUCUGCCUGUUUCCACGCCCCCGCCGCUGCCCCCAGACAAGAGGUCAGGCACACCACCGGCUGGUGCCAGUGAGCACUGCCCCUUUACCCACAGUAGGCACCACAUAAAUGUGUCCAGAAAUUUUUUUAAAUCCCUUUUCUCUUUACAAAAUGUACAAAGAGAAAGAGCUAGAUGGAGGCAAAGAAAUAGCCAUAGAAUUAAGACUUAGUAAUGACUAACACAUACUGUGUGUAGCAUACUAAACUCAGUGAGGAGUGGGGAAAAGAAGGAGAAUUCUAGACACAAGAGUGAAAUAAGCGAAGGGAGUCAUUGGUGUGGCCUUCACUGGCACUUUGGGUCACCGCCUUUCUGAACCUCUCACACCCCUCCAGGCCCACCAAGCUGUAAAGCUUCCCACCCUUGCCCACCUAAAGGCCCCGUCUGUUCCCUCGUGGCCGUCCCUUUGCUUCGGGCAGCUACAGCCGGCUACAUCCGUCAGCUCCUGAGCGCUCUGUUCGCGACGCUCCCCUGUCAGGUAGAAGAGGCGUCCUUCUCAUGAAACCAUUAAGUGACUUAAUGAUUAGCUCUUCCAUAGAGUGGCAAGUGGCAAGCCAGGCCAGGCUGGUGGCAGAGAAGCUUCGAAGAGGAAGCAUUCUACAGCAUCUCUCAAACCCCAGGCCGGCUCACCCUGCAACCAAGGGCUUGUCUUUCAUGGCACGCGUAUCUUGAUCUGGAUUUCCACAUCCACUUGUUUGUUUAAUGCCAGCCGCGUCUGCUAGCCUCUCAGCUCCGCAGGGGCGGGGACAGGUCUGUUUUGUUCGCUGCUAAAUGCCCCGUGCUGAGCACAGUGCCUGGUACCCAGGAGCAUCUGAAAAAUGCUGGAGAGAAAAACCACAGUGUGUCAUUAGUGAUCUCCGGUGUAGCGGGUGGAGACAGGAGUGUGGCACACGACACCGGCACUGUCAGGUCACCAGGGACGUGAGACUCCGUCCAGUCUCAUGAUUCUCAAACUGUCUGACCCCAGAGCCCUCUCUGCACUUGAAAUCUUCAGCGGGGGCCCCCUCCCCUGUCUGAAGAGAACCCCUUUCAGGAUGUCCUCGCCCCCUUCCACUGGGCCCCACCAGGUUUUGAAAAGGCUCCAGGCAGCACGGUUCAAGAACAGCUGAUCUAACGCCUUCAUUUUGCAGAGAAAGAAACCCUUGGAAAGCAGAGAAAUGUGGCAAGGUGACAAAGGUAAGAGACAGCGGACAAGAACCGUGUAUGUCGCAGAAGGACGUUGCUCUGUCGUGCUUUCCCAUCACAGCUCUUCCCUGUCAUUUGAGAACGCCGGUCAAGAUUUGUUCUCCCUCAUCCAGGAAUCCACUGCGAGAAACAUCCAGCAUGGCCUGGAAACAAAAGAGGCCUGCAGAGGAUGUCAGGGGCUCGUGGAGGAGACGAAUUGUGGCCGGAGAGUUUGGGACCUUACUCACUAUGGCGGGAUGUCAUACAUGGAAAUUGUCAGUCUUGGAAGUGAAGUCUUUUCUAUGACAACAAAGCUCCAGGAAUUAUGGGUAACAGAGAAACGUGUUGAACCUACCAUGAGCAUGAUCAGCAAGAUCCAGAGUGUUGAAAAUUCCACAAGACAAAUAGCCCAGUUUCUUCACUAAAGAAAUGGCAAGGAAAAUAAAGAAAGCAAAGAAGCCUACAGAUUAGAAGGGACAAGAGAUAUUUCAACUGAAUGCAAUGCAUGGAUCUUCUUUGGAUCCUGAUUUGAGCAAACCAACAAUAAAAAGAAAUUGUGAGAGAAUAAGGAAA